ACACCUGACCAAGAAGAUGGCAGACCUAAACAUUUCCCUAAGAGAGCUGAACUCAACUAUGGCCCUUGAACUUCUGAGAGAUGGCAACCCUCUUGGCCUCCAUAUGUCCAUGUUCUCCGAUGCACUGCAAGGCCUGGCAUCCCCUGAGCAACAGCAAAAGUGGGUCAGCAUGAUUGUCAAGAACAAAGUGAUUGGAACAUAUGCACAGACUGAGAUGGGUCAUGGCACUUUCCUAAGAGGACUGGAAACAACGGCAACCUAUGAUUCAAAGACCCAGGAGUUUGUGCUUC